rnacentral:rRNA from 1 species
CCUACGGGAGGCAGCAGUGGGGAAUAUUGGACAAUGGGCGCAAGCCUGAUCCAGCAAUGCCGCGUGAGUGACGAAGGCCUUAGGGUUGUAAAGCUCUUUCGCACGCGACGAUGAUGACGGUAGCGUGAGAAGAAGCCCCGGCUAACUUCGUGCCAGCAGCCGCGGUAAU